GGGUUCCUACGGGAGGCAGCAGUGGGGAAUAUUGCACAGUGGGGGAAACCCUGAUGCAGCGACGCCGCGUGAGUGAAGAAGUAUCUCGGUACGUAAAGCUCUAUCAGCAGGGAAGAAAAUGACGGUACCUGACUAAGAAGCCCCGGCUAACUACGUGCCAGCAGCCGCGGUAAUACGUAGGGGGCAAGCGUUAUCCGGAUUUACUGGGUGUAAAGGGAGCGUAGACGGCGGCACAAGUCUGGAGUGAAAUCCCGGGGCUUAACCCCGGAACUGCUUUGGAAACUGUUAAGCUGGAGUACUGGAGA
rnacentral:rRNA from 1 species